rnacentral:tRNA from 1 species
AGGAAGAGGUCACGGGUUCAAUUCCCGCCGUUGGCUUUUUAAAGCUCAAUAUUUUAAUAAUUUUAUCAUGGC